UACGAAGGGGGCUAGCGUUGCUCGGAAUUACUGGGCGUAAAGCGCACGUAGGCGGCUUGUUAAGUCGGGGGUGAAAUCCUGGAGCUCAACUCCAGAACUGCCUUCGAUACUGGCGAGCUCGAGUUCGGGAGAGGUGAGUGGAACUGCGAGUGUAGAGGUGAAAUUCGUAGAUAUUCGCAAGAACACCAGUGGCGAAGGCGGCUAACUGGUCCAGAUCUGACGCUGAGGUGCGAAAGCGUGGGGAGCAAACAGG
rnacentral:rRNA from 1 species